UGCAGAAUCCCGUGAACCAUCGAGUCUUUGAACGCAAGUUGCGCCCGAAGCCGUCAGGCCGAGGGCACGCCUGCCUGGGCGUCACACGCCGUUGCCCCCCCGCGCCUCCCUCGGGAGNGUCGGGGGGACGGACGAUGGCCUCCCGUGCGUCACCCUGCGCGGUUGGCACAAAUGCCGAGUCCUCGGCGACGAACGCCACGACAAUCGGUGGUUGUCGAACCUCGGUUGCCCGUUGUGCGCUUUCGUCGCNCUCCGANCGGCUCGCGACGCUCGCUGCCCUGCUUCGGCGGAGCCUUCAACGCGACCCCAGGUCAGGCGGGGUUACCCGCUGAAUUUAAGCAUAUCAAUAAGCGGAGGAAAAGAAACUUACNAGGAUUCCCCUAGUAACGGCGAGCGAACCGGGAACAGCCCAGCUUGAGAAUCGGGCGCCGUCGGCGUUCGA
rnacentral:rRNA from 1 species